AUAAAUGCUGUGACAAGAAGGAGUACCUGUUUUUGAUAUCCCAGAGAGAAGACGGUUGGUGUGAGUCUUUAUAAAAGGAGCAGGGAAGCAGUCUUUGAGCUUUGAACCGAACAGGAAAUAUCUUUAGUAGGCUUCAACGGCUUUCCCCGUUACCGGAAAGAGAUAUGAUAGUAUCUUAUGAGAGCAGAGAGUAUUCUGAAUUUAGGUGGUACCACGGAUUGUAUAUCCGCCCUAAGU
rnacentral:ncRNA from 1 species